AAAUACAAAAAAUCAGAUUUCUCAAUAAGGAAACCCGAAAAUUUCCAGAUUUUUCUCCUCCUCGCUGCCUUGGCUUCACGGCGUCGCCACGACUUCAUCCGGCCACCUAUGGCCAUGAAAUUGAUAUCAAUCUCUUCGCCUUGAAACCAGCUUUCCAUUCAUAUAUGUCUUGCAUCCUAUCAUUCACCAUAGACAACGAAUCGAAGCAAAGAAGGUCAGACCAUUUUUCAUGCAUUUCUUCAAAUUCCAGCCAACUCCGGCAAAGGUAGGAGGGGAGACCAACUGGGCUUUGUUCGCCUUGCCAUGCUCUAUAAACUCACCAAGUUUCACAUCUCGAUUCAACCCGAGGAAGACGAAUUUCAGAUUUGAGCGAUUUUGGGCGAUUUCGGCCUCUUUCUUCUUGAGGUGAUUGGCGGAUUGAUUUGGCGGACGAUUCGUAAAAUCGUUGUUGAGCUGUUUAGAAGACGCAACGGGAAUUAGAGCGGGUAUUCCUACAGGACAGGAGAACCAGGACGGUGAUCGUGCGGUUAGUGCAAUUGUUAGAGUUUUACAGCAAUUGUAAGUUGUGAGGUGUGUUAUGCUCAUUUGAGCUUUACAAUAUUGCUUGUGAGAGUGAAUUGUAAUAAUGAACUCGAAGUUUCGAGAUUUGGAUUUUGUAAUUGUAAUUAUUCAUGUUUCGGAUUUGAAUUUACUAUUCAAAAUUCGGGGCGUGACAGUUUGGUAUCAGAGCGUAAGGUGCAUAUUUGGUGAUGUGUCAAUACCUUCCGAGUGAUGGCCCGUCUGCAGCGGAUCCCCAUCGUGUGCUCUUUGGUAUUGGCUAAGUCAUUGGGUAUGCGUGAGUGUUGGGAGUUGUUUAGGCCGCUAGGUCGUUUAGGGAACGUGAAUACAUUCCCUAUAGUAUUGACUUGGUUAAUAUGAAUUUGUAUUUGACUUAUACUGUGUUUUAAGUGUUAUACAAGUAUUAGCCAAGCAUACUAUACUCCUUAGGUGAUGGAUAUUCGAAGGGGUUGUACUUAGAACCUUACAGUUGUCUUGUAGGUUCGUAUGAGAAUAAGUUCAGUGGCCGCGAGUUACAAUCCUUGAGGAAUAGGAACCUCUUGAUUCAACUCUGUUAAGUCAACGAGGAUUGUUUUAUGGAAAUGAGGUUCUU